rnacentral:lncRNA from 1 species
UGAAAUAAGUAUUAUUCUGCACAGUUUGUAAAAAUCCCAAAGUUAUUGUCAUAUCACAACAGGGAGUAAAUUGAUAAUGAAUUUAUGUAAAUAAAAGCACAUGGUAAUUAAUCUAAAUAUAUAGGCAUUUGGGAGGGGCUUAUAUGUCAAUCAUCUGUUGAUACCAGUGUCCAGCUGUUAAUCCCUGACCACAAGAUAAAUAUUGUAGUCUUAUCAUCAUGUCAUUGUUUUGCAACACAAAUUAUUUAUAUAACAUGGAAGUGAACAAAGAAAAAGAAAAAAAAACUAAAGGGAAAAUCUACCAAAAAGAAAAAAGGUACUAUGGAAAAGAGUGGGGAAGUAUUUUUGAAAGCCUCUGACUGCCUGUUUAAAUUUCUUCUCUUAGAUCUUCUUCAUCUAAAUACAGUUUUAUGAAUUUUAACUAAUUUUCAGUUGAUGUGUAUUUUUUCAGUCCCAUUUAAUUAAAUGUAUUUUCAAGAAAAGGGUGGUCUUGAUCUUUUUAUGAACAUGUUUUUUUAUGCACACUUUUAAUGUUUAGCUAAUUUCAGACAUAGUUUAUUUCUUUUUUAAAAUUCAAAUGAAAAUUAUUCUUUAUACAUUUAUUAAAUGCAGCUGGUCAAGAAUGUUAUUCUCUUAUCUGAGACUGAAAGAGGCGGAGCUUUGUCUAUAUUUAAUUACUUCAUCACAGAUGUUGGUCAUAUCUGUGACGUCAAACUCCCGC